rnacentral:tRNA from 1 species
GGGGUUGUGGCUCAGUGGUACAGCACAUGCCUAGCAUGUAUGAGGCACUGGGUUCAACUCUCAGAACUGCA